UGAGGGCACGGGAAGUGCUGGGUAGUGUGUUGGGCUUUGAUGUGUGACCAUCCCUUCCACAGCCACAGCCUGGACAGUCCUGAAAUGUGCAAACCUGCCACAGUCAUGAACAAAUAGGUUUCAAAGUCAUGCCUGGGAAGAACACUCGACGCAAAAAAGACGAAGGGAAGGGACAGGAAUACCUUCUCGGAGGUUCAGGGAUGCACCUCAGAGAUCCCAGUUUGAGACCACCAUCCUCUGUGACAUCCAUAAGCCAAUGACAAGACAAGAUCACCAA
rnacentral:lncRNA from 1 species